UCUAAUUUGUAUAUAUUUUCCGUUUAACUUUUCAAGUUUUCAUCAUUCAACCUCAAAAUCGUAUCACCAAAUUUCUUUCUCUACUCUGAAACAUCUUUUGCCUUAUCUUCUAAAUCCAACAGCAACAAAUCCAAAUUUUUAAUACAAAAAAAAACUACUAUAAACAAUAUAAUAUUUCACAACAAAACUUCUUUUAAGCGUUCCAUUCUUCAACAUAAUCCUAACAUCCAACUUCUUUCCUUUAUAUCAGGCAAAAUCAUAAUUCCUUCCUUGGUCCGCGAACGUGACCCGAUAUCACGAGGCAAGGGGUUAAAUUCUCGUCGAAAUCGUUCGGAGCGAGAAUCGCGGAAAAGACACUUUCAGCUUAGAACUAAAGGUGUGACGUCGUAAAUACAAGAGGGUGCAGGCGACGCAGAACUUUAAUUCCUCCUCCUCCUUCCUUCUCCUAUUCAUUCUCGUCUUUCUCUCUUUCUCUUAUUUGGCGUGGACAGAAGGGAUGCACGAUUAGAGGGUGGAAAGAGAUCGCGAUCGAAAUUCCAGCCACGUUUGUGUACGCCAACACCUCGCGUUUCCCCCGCCCUUGGAAAAUUUUUCGAUUUACUUCGAUUAAAUUCCAUCCCUUUCGAUGUUUCUUCUCAUUGGAUCCGAAUAAUACGAGUGAUUUUGUGAAACGAUACAAC